UACGAAGGGGGCUAGCGUUGCUCGGAAUGACUGGGCGUAAAGGGCGCGUAGGCGGUUUGUACAGUCAGGUGUGAAAUUCCCGGGCUCAACCUGGGGGCUGCACUUGAUACGUAGGAACUUGAGUGGGGAAGAGGGUCGUGGAAUUCCCAGUGUAGAGGUGAAAUUCGUAGAUAUUGGGAAGGAACACCGGUGGCGAAGGCGGU
rnacentral:rRNA from 1 species